rnacentral:rRNA from 1 species
GGACUACUCGGGUAUCUAAUCCUGUUCGUGCCCUAUGCCUUCGUCCUUUAACGUCAGUUUUUACAUAAAAGAUUGCCUUCGCCUUUACCAGUCCUCUAGGUAUAAAAGAAUUUUAUCUCUCCACUCACAAGUACUAUCUUCUUACAUAAAACUCUAGUAAAUUAGUUCUCUAUUUCUUAUAAGUCUAUAUUUACCGUCUAAGUACCCUUUAAACCUAUUUAAGAUGAAUAACACUAGUCUCAUACGUAUUACCGCGGCUGCUGGCAC